UUAGUUACAAAGAACAAGAGGAGUAAUUAGAGACUGCUAUUAAAGAGAGCUAGGGAUGGUGGAAGCCUAGUAUAGUAAUCUGAUGAAGGGCGCUUGGGAGUAACUGAUAAUAAAGUGAAUCCUGAUAAAGAGGAUUAAACAGGGUGGAACCGCGGGUAACCUCGUCCCUGAU
rnacentral:ncRNA from 1 species